AUGGAGCUGGUCCAGUCCGGAGGAGCCUCCAGGCGCCCGGCGGGAGCCUCCGCCUCUCCUGCAAGGGCUCCGGCUUCACCUUCAGCAGCUUCUUCAUCUUCUUCAUGUGGUGGAUGCGACAACCGCCCGGGAAGGCGCCCGAGUUCGUCGCGGGUAUUGACUACGGUGGUACCACCUACUACGCGGAUGCGGUGAAGGCCCGCUUCACCAUCACCAGGGACGACGGGCAAAGCAGCCUCUACCUGCAGAUGAACAGCCUCAAGGUGGAGGACACGGCCACCUACUACUGCGCCAAAGCUGCUGAUGCUUAUGGUUAUGGUGUUCCUCAUGACACUGUUGACCAGGUCAUUGGGGGCCUCUUCUGA